AAUAUUUCAAAGACAAGCUUUCAAGAGUUUUCCUCUGUUCCUCAGGACUGAAGCAAUACUGAUCAAACUGAUAGAAUUUAACACUGCUUCCAUAUUGCUUCAGACCUGAAGAAGAGAGGAAAACUUUUGAAAGCUUGUCUUUUAAGUAUU